rnacentral:rRNA from 1 species
UACGUAGGGUGCAAGCGUUGUCCGGAAUUAUUGGGCGUAAAGAGCUCGUAGGCGGUUCGUCGCGUCGGCUGUGAAAACCCGGAGCUCAACUCCGGGCCUGCAGUCGAUACGGGCGGACUUGAGUGUUGCAGGGGAGACUGGAAUUCCGGGUGUAGUGGUGAAAUGCGUAGAGAUCCGGAGGAACCCCAGAGGCGAAGGCGGCCCCCUGGCUCGUACCUGACGCUCAGCCACGAAAGCAUGGGGAGCGAACGGG